GGGGCCAAUAGAGUGCAAAUCAAACGUACCUAACAUUUUCUGCAAGGUUAGAACAGGAAACUGUCAGUCCAGAUGGAUGAGGUCAAGAAGAAAUGGCCCCAGGAAUGUCCUCUACCCAACAAUAUGUCCACUUGCUUCCCAUGAGUUAGGAGGCCUCCCUAUUUUGGUGUGCAUUCAAGUUACGUCAUUUCCUCUGAACUUCUAUGAAACCUAUUUCUGGAAGCUCCAGGCCCUCAGAAUGCCCCCUAAAAGGUGCCUGAAAUUAAAGUUGCAAAGAGGGCUUUCCUGGUCUUGGAGAACAGGGCUAGGCAAUGGCCUUCACUAUGCCUUGUUUUUCCAAUCCUUUGGCAAGCCUAUGGGAACUAAGUUGCCGCUAGUAUUGUCAGCCCUGGAUUUAUUCCUCUGCUUUCUGCUUCCUCAGCUACUCCCAUCUAGGUGCCAUGAUGCUGGCAGAUGCCAUCCUACUAUAGUUUCCAGAGUCAUCAGGCUGUGAGGUAGGUGGGGUAUGGACAACCUCAGUCCUGACUUCACUCACCUCUUUAUCCCUGGACUCAAUAGAGGCUGAGUUCCUCUGUUCUCCAUAUCUCCUUUACUAGCCAUUGCUAGCCCUGGCCCCUAACUCCCCUGAAAGUAACUCAAACACCACUAUCUGUAUUCAUGCCUCAAUCACCACAGGCAAAUUAUUUCACCCAAAUAACCAUGAUUGGCCCUUUAUAAAUGUUCAAUCAAUAUUAACCAGUAGCAGGAGUUAAGAAUCUAAAUGCAACAGCUAGGAUCUCUGCAGAGGCGAAGGUUUGAUCUCCAGCCUGGCACAGAUCCCUUAACAGUGGGUUAAAGGAUCUGGUUUUGCCACGGUUGUAGCUAGGAUUCAAUCCCUGGCCUAGGAACUUCCAUAUACCUGGGUACAGCCAUUUAAAAAAUAUUAACAUGGUUUCCGUCAUGGCACAGUGGAAACUUAUCUGACUAGGAACCAUGAGGUUGUGGGUUCAAUCCCAGGCCUCACUCAGUGGGUUAAGGAUCGGGCAUUGCUGUGAGCUGUGGUGUAGGUCACAGAUGUGGCUCAGAUCUGGCAUUGCUGUGGCUGGGGUGUAGGCUGGCAGCUACAGCUCCGAUUAGACCCCUAGCCUGGGAACCUCCAAAUACUGUGGGUGUGGGCCUAAAGGAAAAAAAAUAACUUAUAGCAGCAGCAGUAGAAGUAAUAGUAGUAGUAGUAAUAAUAGUAGUAACAACUGCCUCAGUUGCUAUCCAAGAAUGGAAUCUUCUUUAUACCCAUUCAGAGCUGGCGGACCAUGCUGUGCCAUUCCAAAUCUUCCCAAAUGUUAUCUAGUUACCACCUGAUUCUUGUAUUCUUCAAUGUGGUGUAACUUGAUUAUCUGGAAAUUGUCAUGUCCCUUGGCCCUGUAACUAGCCACCCUGACCCCCUCACCCUACAAGAUCUGUCCUCAUGUAUGCCUCAGUUCCUCCCAUACUUAUUCUCUUAUGCAGGGGUGUCAUGCCAAUAAUCCAGGCUCAGAUACUCUUCCCUGUGUAGUUGCCAACAGCCAGGAUAAAGCAUUCUUAGGACAUGAUGUCUGAUAGGGACUCCUUCUUCCUAUGACAGUUAAGCUUCUGGUGAUGUGGCUUAGGUACAUUCACCCUUUUAAGUACUCUUUAUGCUAUUCUGGGGAGCAGCUGUCUUUCCCAUACUCCCUUUCUCUUCCUUCCUCCUAUAUUUUUUCACUUCUACUGUCAUUACAAUAGUGCUUAUUGUGUUUCUUCAAAGGUACUCAGUGAGAGGGUGGGUAGGUCCUGGAGGGGAUAUAUGAGAGAAGAACUAUCUUGCUGCUGGAUGAUUUCAUACUUAAUUGGAAAUUAACCCUGGCCCUUAGCUCUCCAGGGUAUAUUCAUAUCCAGCAAGAAAUCACAUCACUGGUCUCCUCAUUUCCUCUCAUUUCAUCCUAUAGUAAUUCACCACACAGCAGUGAGAGUGAUCUUUUAAAAAUGUAAGUCAGAUCAUGCCACAACCCUGCUUGAAGUGGUUUCCCAUUGCACUUGAAAUCCAAAAUCCUUAAUAUGUCCUACAAGGCACUGAAGGGUCUCCCAGUUUGCUUCUCCAGACUCUUCUCACAGCAUUCUUUCCUGCAUCUUCAUACUUCUUCAGCUACAUUGGCUUACUUCAUUUCCCUCAAACAUGCCAUUCUCUCUGUCUCAGGGCCUCAGCACAUAAUUUUUUCUUUUGACUUGGACACUUUUCAUUUGUUUGCAUGGGUAACUUCUUAUAUUUUAGUUCCAGCUCUCUGGUUAAAUGUUAAUUCCUCACAAAAUGUUUCCUUGAGGCCACAAAUUAAACUAGGCAAUGUCCUUGUUGUGACCUAUCAUCCCACUCUUUGCUCUUCCUUAAUAGCACCUUUCAUAAUCUAUUAAAAGUAAAUUAUUAUUCAUUUACUUUUUGUGAUUAUUUAAGGGCUAUCUCCCUUGGAGUGCCAAGAGUAGAACUCCACCCACCAAGGGAAAGCGAAGUUUAUCUAAACCCUCCCUCAAGUCUACCUACUUCUUACAGAAUCUAUAAUAUCCUUGCUUUCUAUUCCUACAGAGUGUCUAGUUCAGACUACUACCACUACUGCUACCAGCAUGGUCCCUGUCAAAUAAUUCUCAAUUGGAACAGAAAAUUCACAAUUAUUUUGGAUUUCAGAAAUACUAGCAUCCCUGCCUAAAUUACCAGAUGGCUGGAGAAGGACUCUUUCAAUUUGAAAAUUCAGCAAUCAAAUUCAAAUACUUGUAUGUGACCCCCCAAAAAAGUUUGUCAAUUAUUAAGGAAGGAAUAAAAUCAAGUAUGAUAUGUUGGCAUAAGUUACUUAGUAGUGAGUCAGCAUCUAUAUCUCAGUUUGGUUAUGCAGUUCUCAAUUCAUAGUGAGUAUGGUGGCAUGUGUAAGUAAGUAUGUAGUAUCUGGAGGCACACUGCUUUUUUUUUAAUUGAAGUAAAACAUACAUACAGGAAAGUGAAAAAAUAAUACAUGUAUGGAUCACUGAAUUUCAUAAAUUAAGUUCACUUAUACAGCAUCACUCAUUUUGAGACAAAACAUUACCAGCACAUUAAAAAUAACCUCCAUGGACUCUUAGAGUAACUCCAGCCCCUUCAAGUGAAAAUUAUUAUCCUCACGUCUAACAUCAAAGACAAAUGUUUUAUUUUUGUAAUUUAUAUAAAUAGAAUAAUACCAUACUUACUCUUCUCUAUAGCUUCUUUGUUCAAUGUUAUAUUUGUGAUAUUCUAAACCAUUGCUCUUAUAUAGUUUGUUGAUUCUCAUUGCUAUAUAUUAUUCCAUUAUGUGAAUAUACCACUAUCUAUGGAAUCAGUCCUUUCUGCUAUUGAUGGCCAUUAAGAAAUUUCCAGUUAUUGGCAAUUAUGGUUAGUGUUUCUUUGAACAUUUCUUAACAUGCCCUGUAGAGAGCAGUGUGCAUUUCUGUUGGGUAUAUGCCUAGGAUUGGAAUGGCUUGGCCAUUGUGUGUGCAUAUAUUCAGUUUUAGUAGUUGUUGUCAAACAUUUUUCCAAAGAUGUACCAUUAUGCAUUUCCAUCAGCAGUGUAUGAUCAUUCUAGUUGUUUUAGAUUCUUACCAACACUUGGAAAUUUUGUAUUUUUUCAUUAUAGCUAUUCUGGUUAUUGUGGAGUGACAUCUCAUUUUCAUGAGGACUAAUGAAGUUGAGGACAUUUUCUAUGUUUGUCAUUUGGAUAUUUUCUUUUGUAAAGUGCUCAAGUCUUUUGCUCAUUUUUCUAUUGGUCAACCUGUCUUUUGACAUUGAUUUGUAGGGAUUAUAUGUAUAUAAUCUGGCUAUACCUCAUUUGUCAAAUAUAUGCAUUACACAAAUUCCUCCAAUUUGUUGCUAAAGUAUUUUUUUAUUGUUGAUGUCAUUUGAUGACUAGAAGGCCUUAAUUUUAAUACACUCUAUUUUUCAAAUGGUUAACAUUUUUAAUAUACCACUUUAAAAAUCAUUGCUUCCUCUAAGACUGCCUGGAUUUGAAUAUUGGAUCCACCACUUUCUGCCUGUAUGACCUUGGACAAAUUACUUAACCUCUCUAGCCUUUGUGUUUUUUACAGUAGAAAGUUGAUUCAUAGUAUUUUUAUAAAGGUGAAAGAACAUGAUGCAUAUAAAAUAGUUUAACACCACACCAAACACAUAAAUAAUCAAUUAUUGCUUAUUUUUCAUUUUAUAUUAUCUAUUAAUAUUUAUAAUUUGGAAAUUUAUAAAAGUUCUAUCUUAAAUAACAAGUCUACUUUCCUUAUAUUAUAUUGAAGGUUUAAAGUCAGACAUUUUCCACUAUAGGUAAAGUUUGUUUUUCAGCAUUCUGAUUUUUCAGAAUUAAGACUAUAAGAAAAAAAUUUUAAGCCAAAAUAAUUUUCAGACCAUAGCAAGUUAUGAUAACUAAUGGUACUCCCUGAUGGGGAUGUGCAAGCAUGGAGGCAUGGAAUUCCUAAUCAAGAGAGAGUAAUGGCUUGGCAGUUGUGUGUGUGUGUGUGUUAGUGAAGUAUAGUCAACAGAGAAUAUUAUGCUAGUUACAUGUGUACAACAUAGUGAUUUAAUAUUUAGAUAUAUUAUGAAAUGAUCACAAAAGUCUAGUAACCAUUUGUCACAUAUAAAUAUUACAGUAUUAUUGACCAUAAUCCUUAUACUAUAUAUUACAUCCCAUUACUUAUUCAUUUUAUAGAAUUGUGUACCUCUUAAUCUUCUCUAUCUAUUUUUCCCACCCCUUAAAGUGCCUUCCCUCUGGCUACCACUAAUUUAUUCUCUGUUUAUUCUAGUUUAUUCUUCUUUUUCCAUUUAUCUAUUGAUGGACACUGAGGUCGCAUCCAUAGCUUGACUAUGGUAAAUAAUGCUACAAUGAACAUUGAAGUUCAUAUAUAUUUUCAAAUUAGUGUUUUCAUUUCCUUUUUUUAAUUGAAGUACAACUUAACAUAUUAGUUUCAAGCAUAUAAGAUAUAAUUCAAUAUUUUAUAGGUUAUACUACAUUUAAAAUUACUUUAAAAUAUUGGCUAUAUUCCCAGUACCAUGCAGUGUAUCAUGGUAGCUUACUUAUUUUAUAUAUAGUAGUUUUUAUCUCUUAAUUAUCUACUCACUUUUUUUUCUUUUGUCUUUUUAGGGCUGCACCAGUGGCAUAGGGAAAUUUCCAGGCUAGGGGUCCAAUCAGAGCUACAGCUGCUGGCCUACACCACAGCCACAGCAACACAUGAUCUGAGCCGCAUCUGCGACCUACACCACAGCUCAUGGCAACUUCAGAUCCUUAACCCACUAAAGGAGGCCAGGGAUCGAACCCACAAGCUCAUGGUUCCUAGUCGGAUUCAUUUCCACUGUGCCACUUCUGGAACUCCUUAGUCAUCUACUCAUAUGUUGCCCUUCCUCAUUUCCCUAUCUGUAAGUCUGUAUCUAUUUUGUUAUAUUCAUUUGUUUGUUUCAUUUUAGAUUCCACAUAUAAGUGAAAACAUACAAUAUUUAUCUUUUUCUACCUGACUUAUUUCCCUAAGUAUAAUAACCUGAAGGUCCAGUCAUGUUGCUACAAAGAACUAAUUUUCAUUAUUUUUAUGGCUAAAUAAUAUUUCAUUGCAUCUUCUUUAUCUUUUAACCUGUUGUUGGACACAUAAAUUGCUUCCAUACCUCAGCUACUGUAAAUAAUGUUGUUAUGAACAUUGGGGUGCGUGUAUCUUUUCAAAUUAGUGUUUUGUAUAUUCUUCGGAUAAAUACCCAGGCAUGGAUAUAUACCAAGAUACUAUAUAGCAAUAUGGAUGUACCUUGAAAGCAUUGUCAGAGAAAGAUGCUAGUCUUAAAAGAUCACAUAUGAUUCUGUUUAAAUGACAUGUCCAAACUAGCAAGUCUGUAGAGACAGAGAGUAGAUUAGCAGUUUCCUAGGUCUAGAGGGCAUGGGGACUGGGAGGUAAUACUUAAAUAGUACAGGGCUUCUUUUUAGCAUAAUGGAAAUGCUUCAAAUUUGAGUGUGGCAAUAAUCGCACAACUUUGUGACUAUACAAAAUUGUAUACUGUAAGUGGUUGAAUUUUAUGCUAUGUGAAUCAUAUCUCAAUAAAGCUGUUUCAAACAAAACAAAA
rnacentral:lncRNA from 1 species